rnacentral:rRNA from 1 species
CGGGGUGAGUAACACGUGGGUAACCUGCCCCAUAAACCGGGACAACAGUUGGAAACGACUGCUAAUACCGGAUACUCUCGCGAGGAGGCAUCUCUUUGCGAGGAAAGGUGGCCUCUGAAUAUGCUACCGAUAUGGGAUGGACCCGCGUCUGAUUAGCUAGUUGGUGGGGUAACGGCCUACCAAGGCGACGAUCAGUAGCCGGCCUGAGAGGGUGACCGGCCACAUUGGGACUGAGACACGGCCCAAACUCCUACGGGAGGCAGCAG